GAUGAACGCUAGCGGCAGGCCUAAUACAUGCAAGUCGGACGGGAUUCAGGAGCUUGCUUCUGCUGAGAGUGGCGCACGGGUGCGUAACACGUAUGUAACCUACCUUUAUCAGGGGGAUAGCCUCUCGAAAGAGAGAUUAAGCCCGCAUAAAAUCACAGCACAGCAUUGUGUAAUGAUCAAAUAUUUAUAUGAUAAAGAUGGGCAUGCGGAACAUUAGCUAGAUGGCGGGGUAACGGCCCACCAUGGCGACGAUGUUUAGGGGAUCUGAGAGGAUGGCCCCCCACACUGGGACUGAGACACGGACCAGACUCCUACGGGAGGCAGCAGUAAGGAAUAUUGAUCAAUGGGCGGAAGCCUGAACCAGCCAUGCCGCGUGCAGGAAGACGGCCCUACGGGUUGUAAACUGCUGUUAUACGGGAAUAAACCCAGAUACGUGUAUCUGGCUGAAUGUACUGUAAGAAUAAGGAUCGGCUAACUCCGUG
rnacentral:rRNA from 1 species